UUACAUAUAUUAAUUUUUUAAAAAAUAUUAAUAUAAAUAGAUUUAAAAUUAUGCUAUUUACUGUGAUUUAUACUCUAGUUGAUAAGAGACCAACACGAACACAACUUUUAUUUUUCUUCAAAAUGUAUUUAUUAGAGGAAAAAUGCUACUAUAUAGCCGCUUUCAAUAAAUAGCCGAAAAAAUAUAUUUUUUUGUAUAUCUUUUGUAUAUAUGUACAUUCUGUAUGUUAUAUACAAAAUUAUACAAAUUUUAUAUACUUUUUUUGUUAUCAAAUAUAAAUAGUUUCUGGCACGAGCUAAAAAAAGCCCUAUUCUAUAUGUUAAUUAGAUGAUAAAUGCUUUUAACUUGUGAAUCACAUUGUAUAGUUAACUGUUCAUUCAGGGGAAGUUCUUUUUAAAGCAGUUGAAGGCUAUUUUGUAUUGUUUUUCUUAUCCAAUUGCUCCUAGAGCGAGCUAACUCUAAAAAAUUCGUCCAACCGUUCAAAUUUCAGGCUGCAAUUUGCUCGCAUAAAGUCAAUUUAAAUAAAUAUAAAAUUAAAAUUUAAUUAUUCAACCAUGAAUAAAUGCAAACAAAUAUGUGUAUAGAAUAUAUGGUAUAUAUAUAUGUGAGCAUGUGUGGCUCUGUGUAUGUGUUUUAGAAUUCUUGUGUAGAGCUGAUGAAAAUAAGUGGUAUUUUAAUGUUUCAACAUUAUCUUAUAUUAGGACACGUAGAAUUUGGCAUUUUCAGGUGAAAAGUGGAAGCAUCUGUUUUGGAUUCAAGUGCAAAUCUCCACUGUCUCCAGCUCACUCGAGGAAAAACUUGUCUACAACAUAUCCAUUGCAUGCAUGCUGCUCUCAAUUGUUAUUUAUUUACUCUCUGAAGUUUCCAAAUAUUUUUGUUUUAUUUAUAAAAAGAAUUUUUAACGGUUUUAGCUUUUAAGAACUUUCUUUGCGUUGAAAAUAUUCCUAUUUCAAUUUAAACCGUAUCUUGUGAUAAGGAGCAGGAGGAUUGUCUGGCAUACAACUGUUUUUAAUGAUUUUUCUAGAAACAUUUUCAAAUCCUGCUCUUUUUUUUUUUUUUUUUUUUUUUUUUUUUUUUUUUUUUUUUUUUUUUUCUCUUUCCUCUCUAUCAUCUUCUCGUCGUUCCUAAUUAAAACAAAAAUUUCCUUUUAAUUUCAUACAAAUUAACAAAUAUGGUAUUGAUGAAAUUUUGAUGUAUAAAGUGGGAUCAGAACAAGUUGAAAGCAUUUAUUAUUAAGCAAUUUAAUUUGAUAUGAUGUAAAUAUUUUGAGAUGUAAUGAUAGUUGUAAUGAUUAACAAUAUGUUCAAUAGUUUUUUUUUCCUUAAACAGAGAAUCAAAUUAAUUGGAAAACAGUGACCAGAAGACAGUGCGCUGGAAGUUGACCACUUCUGCCCCUUAGGAACUUGGUGAUUUUUUUUUAUCUUUUAGAAAUGUUUUCUAAAAUUGUUUAUUAGGUGGUGUUUGCUGCAUUAAUUGAAAAUUAAUUUUUUCGACAAAAUAAAUAUAUUUGAAUUUGAUCUUCGCAAACAAUCAAAAACUGCGCCAAAAUCUAUAAAAACGUGAGCCGUCAGAUAGACACGUGGCUAACUAAAGGACCAGAAUUGAAAGGCAUACGGUAAACCCGCGGAGCAGGAAACUAAUCCACCUCUCUCCGAAUUUCCGAAGCCCCCUUCGCUGAAAAUUGAAAAUCAGAAAAAAGUAAAAUUGGAGGAGAGGCUUAGCGGUAGGGACAGAGAAGAUCAGAGACGUAUGAAAAAGGCAGAGAGUUACGGCUAAUUUUUUGAAUCAAUUUUCACUUCCCUUCGACAAGAUAUGUUGUUCAUCGACAAGUGCUGGUGCAGGUCUAACUUUUUUACCUAGAGCUAGACUAAGAAGGCUGGCAAUGGAUAGGCGCUUUUUCUCUGAGUUAACUGUUGCUCGGUGGAGAACACCUUUGUAUCGGCCAUUGCUCAAUACUUCCAUGUGAUCUCCCAGCUGAACAAUGAGGGCUCCUUCAAUGACAGGAACUGAAUGCCACUUUCCAUCAUGAUCCAUGAUUUGCAAGCCCUGAUGAUUUUGAAGAAUGAUCGUUAGCAAAGCAUAAUCUGUGUGUGGUGGCAAGCCUAGUGUAAGAUCUGGCUCAGGACAUGCUGGAUAGCAAUUAAUGGCCAUGACCUGGGAGCCUUCUGCAAUGUCUUCAUGUGACAUGACACGAGAGAAGUACCUGGAAGAAACCUAGUUCCUUGCAAGCCAGGUGUACUUCCUCGAUUAUCCGAGGCCGAUGAAGAGGGUGUCGCAGAAAGGAUAGAUCUACAAUUGGCAGGCAUGUGUUAGACCGGGUUCCAUCGGGGCGUAAGGAUGGCGGAAGAAUGUAACGUUUGGGAACUUUGGUUAGACCGUCUUCAGCCGAGAAAUGUCAGAUGACGGUAAUUGUUGGUUUCACAAGUUGAUCCAGAAUGUGGGGAAAAGAAAUCCAGAAUGUAAUUGAAUACAGAG